rnacentral:rRNA from 1 species
AACGAACGCUGGCGGCAUGCCUAACACAUGCAAGUCGAACGAGACCUUCGGGUCUAGUGGCGCACGGGUGCGUAACGCGUGGGAACCUGCCUUUAGGUUCGGAAUAACUCAGAGAAAUUUGAGCUAAUACCGGAUGAUGUCUUCGGACCAAAGAUUUAUCGCCUUUAGAUGGGCCCGCGUUGGAUUAGCUAGUUGGUGGGGUAAAGGCCUACCAAGGCGACGAUCCAUAGCUGGUCUGAGAGGAUGAUCAGCCACACUGGGACUGAGACACGGCCCAGACUCCUACGGGAGGCAGCAGUGGGGAAUAUUGGAAAAUGGGCGAAAGCAUGAGAAAGCAAUGCCGCGUGAGUGAUGAAGGCCUUAGGGUUGUAAAGCUCUUUUACCCGAGAUGAUAAUGACAGUAGCGGGAGAAUAAGCACCGGCUAACUCCGUG